AGCGAACGCUGGCGGCAGGCCUAACACAUGCGAGUCGAACGAACUCUUCGGAGUUAGUGGCGGACGGGUGAGUAACACGUGGGAACGUGCCUUUUGGUUCGGAAUAACUCAGGGAAACUUGUGCUAAUACCGAAUGUGCCCUUCGGGGGAAAGAUUUAUCGCCAUUAGAGCGGCCCGCGUCUGAUUAGCUAGUUGGUGAGGUAACGGCUCACCAAGGCGACGAUCAGUAGCUGGUCUGAGAGGAUGACCAGCCACACUGGGACUGAGUCACGGCCCAGACUCCUACGGGAGGCAGCAGUGGGGAAUCUUGCGCAAUGGGCGAAAGCCUGACGCAGCCAUGCCGCGUGAAUGAUGAAGGUCUUAGGAUUGUAAAAUUCUUUCACCGGGGACGAUAAUGACGGUACCCGGAGAAGAAGCCCCGGCUAACUUCGUG
rnacentral:rRNA from 1 species